rnacentral:rRNA from 1 species
AUUGAACGCUGGCGGCAUGCCUUACACAUGCAAGUCGAACGGCAGCAGACCUUCGGGUGCCGGCGAGUGGCGAACGGGUGAGUAAUAUAUCGGAACGUACCUUUCAGUGGGGGAUAACGUAGCGAAAGUUACGCUAAUACCGCAUAUUCUGUGAGCAGGAAAGCAGGGGAUCGCAAGACCUUGCGCUGAUUGAGCGGCCGAUAUCAGAUUAGCUAGUUGGUGAGGUAAAGGCUCACCAAGGCGACGAUCUGUAGCGGGUCUGAGAGGAUGACCCGCCACACUGGAACUGAGACACGGUCCAGACUCCUACGGGAGGCAGCAGUGGGGAAUUUUGGACAAUGGGCGCAAGCCUGAUCCAGCCAUGCCGCGUGAGUGAAGAAGGCCUCGG